rnacentral:rRNA from 1 species
UACGGAGGGAGCUAGCGUUGUUCGGAAAUACUGGGCGUAAAGCGCACGUAGGCGGCGCAGCAAGUCAGGGGUGAAAUCCCGGGGCUCAACCCCGGAACUGCCCUUGAAACUGCAGUGCUAGAAUCCUGGAGAGGCGAGUGGAAUUCCCGGUGUAGCGGUGAAAUGCGCAGAUAUCGGGAGGAACACCAGUGGCGAAGGCGGCUCACUGGCCCGGUACUGACGCUGAGGUGCGAAAGCGUGGGGAGCAAACAGG